UUGACAGUGCGGCGACCAGCUCAAACAUUUUGAACCCACGCAUUGCACAGCUGGAUGACACUUAUCGGGUUCCUAGUCUAUUAGAGGAAGAAGAUACCCAUGAGUUACAAAUAUCGUUCGAUGUGGAAGAAGAGCUUCCUGACAAAACCGUCGGUCGAAGAAUUGUUGCAAUUAGUAAUUUUUUUACAAAAUUACAAUCGAUUUGCAAUCAUGGACCCUUAGGAUGCGGUAUUCAAGAAAUGCAGUUGGUUGGAGAAGUAAAACAUGGGCUAACAUCAAAAUUUAUGUUUCGGUGUCAACUAUGCAAGAAGAAAUUUUCUAUACCAAGUGAUGACUGUGGAGAAAAUUACUUGGGAGUAAACCAAUGUGCUGUUGCAGGCACUAUUGCAAUUGGUUGCGGACACUCACAGUUGCAAGAGAUGCUGUCUGCCAUAAACCUACCGUUGAUAUCCGACAAAACUUAUGCUGAAUGCCACGAUAAUUGUAGCGCGCAUUGGGAGCGUGUAUUAGAAGAAUCAAUGCAUAAAGCUGCUGAAGAAGAAAAACAAUUGGCAUUAGAAGAAGGUCGCGUAAAGAAUGGGAUUCCGAAAAUAGACGUAGUUGCUGAUGGCUGCUGGAGCAAGCGUUCGUAUAAAAAAAACUACAACGCAUCCUCUGGUGCCGCAUCAAUCAUCGGAAGAAGAACAGGAAAAAUUUUAUAUCUUGGCAUUAAAAAUAAAUAUUGUAGCACCUGCGCCUAUGCACAAAGAAAAGAAACAACUACUCCGGAGCAUGCAUGCUAUAAAAAUUUCAGUGGUUCUUCAACA